GCUACAAAUGUCUCUAAUGCUCAGUGUAGGCAUGAACGCAGUGCCUGGAGUUUGCUGUCCAAGUAAUCUUAACCCAAAUUGUAAUGUCAAAGCAAUUGUUGAACUAACUGUAACUUUAAUCCCAUAUCUAGCUUAAAUUAGAACCCUCAUGCUUCAAAAUAUCAUUGUUCUAUCCCUAGAACAAUUACUUACUGUAAUUUUCCUCUUAAUGAAUGUUUCAAGCCUGUUUAGGAAUAGACAGACGCUGUCGUAAUGGUUACAGCCCCACCCUCUCCUAAUGCCGACUGCACUGGCAACUCGGAAUGCAACUCUGAAGAUGCACUGAGACCCUGCAUAUCCAGACCCUACUCAGACACCGUAGUGCUGCUGCCCCCUCCCCUGUCUCUCCCGUUUCUCUGGCACCGUUUCCAAUCUAGGUCUGCCGUUGCAGGACUUGACAGCUGAAAGAAGGUAAGCCCUCGGACCGCUGCACGCUGGGACCAGCACGGAGCGGCUCUGGGACGGGUGCGGUCGAGCCCGUGGAUCGUGCCCACAGCUGCACUCGCCCCAGGCACUUUGCUGCGGUGCUGCUGGUGGCAGCGGGGAACUGCGGUGCUCCUGUUUGGUGCCGGAACUGCAUGGAGAUCCAUGUGGCUCCUCAUGAAGUCAGCAAGACAUGGAAAUCUGGAUUUCCUGGAAUGCCUCGGAACCCUCCUUGUCUGUCUGGUAAUUGGUCGCCCAUAGAGCUCUGCAGCUGUGGGACUCAACGGCUCAAAGAAGGCCGGCCCUCGGACCACUGCACUCCGGGACCGGCAUGGGAUGGCUGUGAUGGGUCCAGUAGAGAACAUGGAUUGUACCGAUGGGUGCACUCAGUGAGUUUUCCAGUGCUGCUGAGCACUUGGAAUUCCCUGCUUGUCCACCUGUGCCCUGAUUACCAAACUCCUUUGCGUUGUCAUGUCUCACAGCCCCAGGUGUCUUGCUGCGGUGCUACUGGUAAGAGCGAUGUGCA
rnacentral:lncRNA from 1 species